rnacentral:rRNA from 1 species
AGUAUAUAAUAAUUACGAAAGCAAAAAAUUAUGGCGGUAUUUUAAGCUUUUCAGAGGAAUUUGCUCUUUAAUGGAUAAAACACCUAAAUCUUACUUAAAUUUGUCAAAUCAACUUGUAUACCACUAUUAAAACAAUUAUUAACUCUAAUUGUUAAUAUUUAAAAACAUAAAUUAAUUUAAAUUAAGUCAAGGUGCAGUAAAAAUUUAAGAAUGAAGUGAAUUACAUUACUUUUAAGAGAAAUAAAAUUAAAUAAAAUUUAGGAUUUGAAAGUAAAAUUAAAAUAGAAUGUUAAUUUGAAUUAAGCUCUAAAAUAUGUACAUAUCGCCCGUCACUCUUUUUUAAGA